rnacentral:rRNA from 1 species
GAUGAACGCUAGCUACAGGCUUAACACAUGCAAGUCGAGGGGCAGCAUGAACUUAGCUUGCUAAGUUUGAUGGCGACCGGCGCACGGGUGAGUAACACGUAUCCAACCUGCCGAUGACUCGGGGAUAGCCUUUCGAAAGAAAGAUUAAUACCCGAUGGCAUAGUUCUUCCGCAUGGUAGAACUAUUAAAGAAUUUCGGUCAUCGAUGGGGAUGCGUUCCAUUAGAUAGUAGGCGGGGUAACGGCCCACCUAGUCUUCGAUGGAUAGGGGUUCUGAGAGGAAGGUCCCCCACAUUGGAACUGAGACACGGUCCAA